AGUGAACGCUGGCGGUAGGCCUAACACAUGCAAGUCGAACGGCAGCACAGUAAGAGCUUGCUCUUACGGGUGGCGAGUGGCGGACGGGUGAGGAAUACAUCGGAAUCUACAUUUUCGUGGGGGAUAACGUAGGGAAACUUACGCUAAUACCGCAUACGACCUACGGGUGAAAGCAGGGGAUCUUCGGACCUUGCGCGAUUGAAUGAGCCGAUGUCGGAUUAGCUAGUUGGCGGGGUAAUGGCCCACCAAGGCGACGAUCCGUAGCUGGUCUGAGAGGGUGAUCAGCCACACUGGAACUGAGACGCGGUCCAGGCUCCUACGGGAGGCAGCGGUGGGGAAUAUUGGACAAUGGGGGCAAGCCUGAUCCAGCCAUACCGCGUGGGUGAAGAAGGCCUUCGGGUUGUAAAGCCCUUUUGUUGGUAAAGAAAAGCAGCAGGUUAAAACCCCGCUGUUCUGACGGUACCCAAAGAAUAAGCACCGGCUAACUUCGUG
rnacentral:rRNA from 1 species